CAAUAUCCUGCCAGUGCCCGGGAGAAAAGCAUCACGAAUGAUGAAGGCAGCAUCUAGUGGCAGACAAUUGAAAGAGACCUCCUGCACCGGGCGCACGCCACAUUUGCAGAUCGGAAAGCAGAACGGUCUGAUUUUCCGUUGGUGGGGCAGACGAUUUCACAGGGGGUGGAAAAUCCUGGUCUGUAGCCCCGUUAAAGAGCAUUUGUGACAUGUAAAUUACGACCUCGAUGCUCACCAGAGACAAAGGCAUGAACCCACCAGGAACCCACCAUGAAAACGCUGAGGAGAAAAUUGCGAAUUGUUUUCCCACCGGCGUGCUUUUGACUUUUGGUCUCACUUCAAAUUUUCCGCUCCCACCCGCCCCAAUUUCUGCCACUGGCGGAACCAGAAGAUUCCACCCUUGCCUGUUUAUAUAGCAUCACAGGAAUAUUUGACAGCCGUAGCUGUUGUAGGAAAAAGGCCCUUUGCAAUUUCUGGGUAAAAAAGGAAUCAAAAUAUUCUGAUUGAUGGGAUUCGAUUGAACUGUCUUUGUUGCUGCACUUUCAGUAUAGCAAUGCCAUAGGGUGUAGCCCUGACUUCAGUAGAAGAUUCUAAGUAUUGUAAUUUGCAUGAAACAACAACAGCAUUACAACUGCAUUUCAAAUGCUAUAAGCACAUCACUGCUGGCCCCAGGAACAAUGCUUCAGCCCAAUACAGUCCAGCAUUGUGGUUGUCGUCUUAUGAAGACUAUCCCUUAGGACAAUCGGCAACUCAAAAAUUAGAACUUUAAGGUUGACAUUUAAAUAGCCACACAUGUAGAGUUAUUCCUUGUUGCUCCUGGUGCCCUGAAAUUUUCACCCUAAUACAGAGUCUUAGAAUGAUACAGCAUAGAAGGAAGUCAGUUGGCCCAUCAUGCUUGAGCCACUCCUUUGAUAGAACUGUUUAAUUAAUCCUACUCCUCUGCUCUUUCCCCAUGACCCUGUAAUUUUAUUCCCCAUGUUGUUCCUGUAUAUUAAGGAACCUCAGGGAGCUAGGGUGGCUUUACUGCUUAUUAGAACAAGCUGAAGCAUGACCAAUUCAAUUAGACACACUGACUACAGCUUAAACAGUGGGCUUUAUUCAUCCACGGCACUUGUGUCUUUAAGUCCAGCAAUGAACAAGACAGUAACGGGGGGAACGCAUGUCGGCAUGGAAACCUUCUACUGGCCAACAACUCCAUCAGUCCCGGCAGCACCAGGAAGGUGUCAGCGGCAGCUGCCAGGACUGCUCCUGAAGAGGGGAGCCCAAGGCCGAGGGUCCCCAAAGCAGAAAUUAUUGACUCUCCGCCAUUAUACGUUAUUGCCCUCUGGUGGCUAGGAGACCGGUUCAUCUGGGCGUGGCCAUUAUUGCUGAUUGUACAAUUUGAUUUUGUGGUUAUGUUAAAGCUCGACGUUUUGACCCAAUCGCUGUUGAUACUAUGAUUCAGUUUAUGUGCCAACUUGAAGCUAUGUUCCAAUCAAAGGUUCAUCUCCAAUCUGCUCAUCAGACUGAUGCUUCAUAGUCUUUACAUGCGGUUGGUGAAACACACUUCUCUCUGUCGAGAAACCAUCACAACCUUGCCUUUGGAGGCCUGGCCAAGGGGAACUUUAAUGUCAGGUGCAUGAAGGCAUUCCACUCAUGGAAACAAUGAGGUGUCAAUUCAGCCAGUGCUAGUGCCAGUUGAUGAUGCCACUACCUAUGAUUCUCAAUCUCAUGCUUCCUCCAGCCCAUGUAGAAUGAGAUGAGCUUAUGUGCUUCAUGUUCCCUCAAGGUCAACGACAAUCUGACCAAGGGAUUUCAUCGCGAUGGCACUACUGGAUCUCUUGCAGACCUCAUGACAUUUGCAGUUGCACUAUCCUCUCUUCCCUCAGAAUCAAAGUGUACUAAGCCACCUAACACUUGGUCUCCACCACAUAUUUUGACUAAUAUUGCUGACGAGAUUCUUACCGCAAACCUCUCCUGUGAACUACAAGCUCUGUCUUGCAAUGAACAUUUCGCUCAGAUACAGCCACUUGGAUACAACCACUUGGAUACAGCCUAUCUUCACCCCCAGCAACCAAGAAUCUCAGCCUUCUCAGGAUGACAUGACACAGCCACUUACCAAGCAACACAAGCAUAAGCAUCAUCAGCUGCUUUCAGAGCCUGUUCUUGUGGAUCUGGAUCACACCCUGCCUCAGCACACAUGCACUCAGUUCCAAAUGCUCCUUUAAGCAUAUGAUGACAUCUUCGAUCGAGUAUUCCCAGUAUACAAUGGCAAGGCCGGGCCCUUCGUGACUAACGUCAACAUGUGACCUGUACGACAGCCACAACAGAAAGGUCACCUUCCCCAGUACACCAGAGAUAAACUUGUUGAGUUACAACAAAAACUUGAUGACCUCGUAGACCUCAGAGUCUUUUCUUGACCUGGAGAUAUGGGGAUCACUGUGGAGUACCUUAAUCCAUCAUUUUUUGUGAAGAAGCCAAAUGGGGUUUUAAAUUUAAUUGUUACAGCUUUUGCCGAUAUUGGGUGCUAACAUAAGCUGCAGCCUUAUUCAUGUCAGAUGUUGACUCAACCUUAGACAAGAUUGCCCAGUGGAAACACAUCACUGCAACAGAUCUGACCAACGCUUUUCACCUUAUUCCAUUAGCAUGAUCUUCCAUGAAGUACUGUGGAGUGGUCACACCCUACAAAGGUGUUCAUGUGUGCACUUUCUCCGCCAUGGACAUGCUUUGAUCUGAAACUGCACUUGAGGAAUUGACAUGCCCCGACUGCUAUUGUAGUGGUGACAGUCCUGAGGACAGUUCUUCACAACUGGCAACAUGUACUACAUGUGCUGUCACUGUGGAGUACCUAAACCCAUCAUUUCUUGUUAUCUGCACCUAUCUCUCCCUAAAACUGACAUCUGCCCUAAAACUGCCCUAUUCUGGGAUGGAUUUGGUCCCAAGCUAGCCCACACUGUGUGGCCAGCCUCUCCACCUGUUCUUCACUAUUGAAGGUUUCUGGCAUAAGAUAGUUCAUCACAGCUUACAAGUUGCUUUUGAGAGUCCUUCCUCAGUGUGCUUUGUACACAACCCCCUUGGAUGCCAGGCGCCAGUCCAAUGAAAGGAUCAAGUGGACAAAUGACUGAUGCACAAGCCUCCAACUGGCAUAAUCUGUGCUAAACCCAUUACCCUUUCCCAUGCAAACAAUCAAGUCUGGGUUGUCACAGACGGUGCUGUUAAGAAGCAUGGCAUCGCAUCCACUCUGUAUGUCACUCAUGGCAGAAUAAACCCCAGUGGCUGGAGGAUAGUCCACCCCUGUGAAAUAUGUUUGCAUGCCCAGUAUGCAUCCCAUUUGUUGUGAUUCCUGUAUUUGUUUUUGUAUUGCUUUUUGUAAAGAAAUUUUUGUUUUUAACAUUUAUGAUAUUGCAUUCUUUGGACACCUAUGCUCACUUGAGAUUUCAUUUUAAUGCGAAGAAGCUGUUUUCAGCUUGGCUUUUUUGGCAUUGUUAGUUAAUACAAGAAGGAAAUUUGAUGUACAGAGAAAGAGAAAAAGAGUGAGAUCACACCAUUCUAUGUUAUCACCCUCUGGUGGCUGGGAGCCUGGUUCCCAUGUGGGCAUAGCCAUUUUGUCUUGCCUACGGCUUGAUAUUAAAGCUCAAUGUUUUCACCCAAUCCCUGUUGAUACUGUGAUUCAGUUUAUGUGUCAACUUGAAGGUAAACACAACCUGUGAAAAUAAAUACUUAUUAACAUCUAAAGU